rnacentral:misc_RNA from 1 species
AAGUCGUAACAAGGUUUCCGUAGGUGAACCUGCGGAAGGAUCAUUACAGAAAAAUGAAGUCAAGUGGGAAAGGGGGAGGGGUCUUCCCCUCUCGUGGACCCAACUUGUCUCAUCUCAUUCAUCCCCUAUGUGAACCUUUGCACAUGCUGGUCCAGGUCUCUCUCAGUGAUCUGGAAGGCUUGUGACUUCUAUAUACUUUAAUAGAUGAGUCUCAGAAUGUACCCUGCGUUUGAUCGCAUGUAAUACAACUUUCAGCAACGGAUCUCUUGGCUCUCU